rnacentral:rRNA from 1 species
CACAACUAAAGCCAAACAACACGCACUUACAGCCCAGAGACAAUGGGCUU